AGCGAACGCUGGCGGCAGGCCUAACACAUGCAAGUCGAACGAACCUUUCGGGGUUAGUGGCGGACGGGUGAGUAACACGUGGGAACGUGCCUUUAGGUUCGGAAUAACUCAGGGAAACUUGUGCUAAUACCGAAUGUGCCCUUCGGGGGAAAGAUUAAUCGCCUUUAGAGCGGCCCGCGUCUGAUUAGCUAGUUGGUUGAGGUAAUGGCUCACCAAGGCGACGAUCAGUAGCUGGUCUGAGAGGAUGAUCAGCCACAUUGGGACUGAGACGCGGCCCAAACUCCUACGGGAGGCAGCAGUGGGGAAUCUUGCGCAAUGGGCGAAAGCCUGACGCAGCCAUGCCGCGUGAAUGAUGAAGUUCUUAGGAUUGUAAAAUUCUUUCACCGGGGACGAUAAUGACGGUACCCAGAGAAGAAGCCCCGGCUAACUUCGUG
rnacentral:rRNA from 1 species